rnacentral:snoRNA from 1 species
CCCGCCACUGUGCCGGUAUGUCUGUGACCGAGCUUAGUCCAGUGGAGGCUCAGAGUGACCCGGCUUUAGGAAACAGGGCGGACCUCGCCCGUGGCUCGCUCUGUGCCGUAAAGCACGGAACAAAA